UACGUAGGGUGCGAGCGUUGUCCGGAAUUAUUGGGCGUAAAGAGCUUGUAGGCGGUCUGUCGCGUCGGCUGUGAAAUCCCGAGGCUCAACCUCGGGUCUGCAGUCGAUACGAGCAAACUAGAGUGUUGCAGGGGAGACUGGAAUUCCUGGUGUAGCGGUGAAAUGCGCAGAUAUCAGGAGGAACACCGAUGGCGAAGGCAGGUCUCUGGGCAUUAACUGACGCUGAGGAGCGAAAGCAUGGGGAGCGAACAGG
rnacentral:rRNA from 1 species